CUUUUUUCAUUUUUUUCUUCACUUUUCUCCAGCCUUCCUCUCUCUCUCUCCUUCCUUCCUCCUUGCUUUCUUUAUAUGCCUUAUCUUCUGAGAAGGUUGACCCCAGUUCCGGCGAUAGACGGACACUAAGCCCCCCUUGAGUGACUAGAAAGGCAGGGGACAUAGGAACAGUUAGGACAUAAGGGAAGAGUAAAGAGAGGGACCCCUGAUUUUGAUUUCAGGGUGCCCUGUUUGUCUCAUCCAAUAUCCUGAAGACCCAAGAUGGAGACCAGCUACUUGUCCCUUCCAAAAAGCUUCCCUGGCCUUAAUGUCAGUGCUUGUAGGUGAUCUCAGAAACCUCCCUGGUGAAGAAAACCUGAAGACGGGGUCUUGCUCUGUUGCCUGGCUGGAGUGCAGUGGUGCUAACAUGACUCACUGCACCCUUGACCUCCUGGACUCAAGUGAUCCUCCCACCUCAGCCUCCCAAGUAGCUGGGACUCCAAGUGGGUGCCACUACAGCCAAACCUUCAGACCUGUAGAUGGGCUCUUCUUGGACAUUCUGGAGUCCCUGGGGGAAAGGGAAGUCUGAAGCUCAGUUGGCCACCUCUGCAUAACAAAUACCGAGAGCACUGCAAGUGGAGCUUGGACAAGGUCUGGAAAAUCAGCCUUCUUCUGGAUGCCUCCAGCCUUUGCUAUCAUCUGCCUAGGAGGUUGGAAGUUACUCAAGCGGCUCAAGGAAAAGUCCCUAUUUCUGUUGCAGUUGAUUUGGAGUUAUGUGAUGUGUAGCCCAUCAGAAGUAAGCAGAAAACUUUGUGCCGUUUUCUAUCCUGGAAAUAACACCCCCGCCCCCUGGCCCCGCUGCAUUAUCAGCCACUCCUCUUCACUCCUUUCUAUGGCUCCAGAAGUGAAGAGCUCUGAAAUGCCUAAAUUGCCAGAUGGGAACAUCUUUACUGCUUGGAGAAAGCCACACAGGAGUUACCUGACCUGCCUUGGAUGGUGACAUGAGUGAGAAAUAAACCUUUGUUGGGUUAGACUGCUAA